rnacentral:rRNA from 1 species
AGCUGGAGUUGCUAGUAAUCGCGAAUCAGCAUGUCGCGGUGAAUACGUUCCCGGGCCUUGUACACACCGCCCGUCACACCAUGAGAGUUGGGAAUACCCGAAGCCUGUGAGCUAACUUAUAGAGGCAGCAGUCGAAGGUAGAAUCAAUGAUUGGGGUGAAGUCGUAACAAGGUACC